rnacentral:rRNA from 1 species
GUCCACGCCGUAAACUAUGGAUGCUAGCCGUCGGCAAGCUUGCUUGUCGGUGGCGCAGCUAACGCAUUAAGCAUCCCGCCUGGGGAGUACGGCCGCAAGGUUAAAACUCAAAGGAAUUGACGGGGGCCCGCACAAGCGGUGGAGCAUGUGGUUUAAUUCGACGCAACGCGAAGAACCUUACCAGCUCUUGACAUGUCCGGACGGUUUCCAGAGAUGGGAUCCUCCUAGCAAUAGGCCGGAACACAGGUGCUGCAUGGCUGUCGU